UCCUCGAUGGUCUAACGGUCAUGAUUUCCGCUUGUCAAUUUACAAUUUUACAAGCGCGGGAGACCUGGGUUCGACUCCCAGUCGGGGAG
rnacentral:tRNA from 1 species